UGUGUUGUGGCUCAUUGGUAGUGUGCUUGCCUAGCACACGUGAGGCACUGAGUUCAAUUCUCAGCACCACAG
rfam:Ictidomys tridecemlineatus contig003568, whole genome shotgun sequence.